rnacentral:rRNA from 1 species
AGCAGUCGCCGCGGUAAUACGUACGUCACAAGCGUUAUCCGGACUUAUUGGGCGUAAAGCGCGUCUAGGUGGUUAUGAAAGUCUGAUGUGAAAAUGCAGGGCUCAACUCUGUAUUGCGUUGGAAACUGUGUAACUAGAGUACUGGAGAGGUAAGCGGAACUACAAGUGUAGAGGUGAAAUUCGUAGAUAUUUGUAGGAAUGCCGAUGGGGAAGCCAGCUUACUGGGCAGAUACUGACGCUGAAGCGCGAAAGCGUGGGUAGCAAACAGGAUUAGAUACCCCCGUAGUCCCUGUCUCUUAUACA